GACCGUCCGUCUUAUUUGAAUUUUUUUAUGAUUAAUAGUUUUAUUGUUAUUAAAUGAUAAAAGUACUUUAUGCGUUACUUACUAUUUUAAUUUUUUCAUAAAUUUUUCAAAUAAAACGGACGGUN
rnacentral:pre_miRNA from 1 species